rnacentral:tRNA from 1 species
GGAGGCUCGCAAGGCUGGCGCGCUUAUCCGGCUUGAACCCGGUGAUGUCGGAAACGACGUGGGGGUUCGAUCCCCUCAGCCUCCGCCA